CUGCGGCCCCUUUAAGACCUGCCCGCUUCCUCUUCCUUUUCCUCCCUCCGCCCCUUUCUAUCGGCGCGUACCAAAACGCAGAGGGAGGAGGGGGGCAAGGAACCCAUGACGCCGAGGAGGGAACCGAGAAGGAGAGGUCAAAAGAAAAGGAGGCCCAGAGGAACUGCUUCUAUUCUUCUCUCUCCGGAGGGUAUAGCUUCCUGGAGACGAAGACACGGAGAAAAUAUUCCGCCCUCCUAGACCUACGCGUCCCUGAGAUACAAGGUUUCAUUAUCCCGUUCUGAGGAAUUCCUGACCCAGAUCAGCACAGAACUUACUGAUGAGGCCUUGUUUACCGCUGGCUACGGCACGAACCCUGUGCCCACCAAGGAAAAACAGACCCAAGACCGAGGGACUCAGAUAUCCAAACACGGUGACCCCACCUCCAGGACCACUGUGUCCAGAGACCCCACCAUACCCCUAGUUCCAAUCCCUGACCCCUCCCAACCACAGCUGAGCUCUCCAGCAAUCUCACAUCUCACAGCCCUCCCUGGGACUGCUUAGUGCUUCCCCGCACAACUCACCCGGUACCCACUCCCCACUGCUGGCCAGGAAUCACCUCAGCCCCUUCCUCUCUAGCCACAUCUCUUUCUGGCUAGAGGGGUAGGAAAUUCUCUGACUGGGGCUUCUACUUCUAGUGUUCUUCAAGACCCGAGGCACCGACACCCACACCCGGUGAGUAAAUCUUCAAUGGAGAUGCCCUUUGUCCUGGGAAAAGGAUAAGGAGCCUGGAGGGGAGAGAGGGAGGGUUUGACAACAUCCUAGCGGGGCAGGGGGAUUUUUAAACCGGGAAGUCCGAUUCUCUUCUGGUCUGAUCCUCAAAUUCAGACUUCUCAGCCCUCCCCUUUCCGUCCGCCAUCUCUAGUUCUGACAGAAACCGUACCCGCACCAAGACCCACCUCCUGCCAUCCCCUCGUGACAAGAACGUGCAUCAGAGCUCCUCUUUCACGAGUCAUUAACACUUCACUUUGCUGGGACUUCUGGUCAUGAGCAACAUACCCCUGGAAGCUUCCUAGGUGUUCAGGAACCAUCACACACCUCUCCCCCUCAACUGGCAAGAACAUCACCAGAAAUCAAAGGCUUUAAUAAAAAGACAGAGGUCCUUCCCUCCUCCCAACCCAGGUCAUGCUCUGCAGUGACUUCUCUGGGGUGGGGCUAUGAGAGGGUGGCCCUAUCUCUUCCUUCCUUCCUUCCUUCCUUCCUUCCUUCCUUCCUUCCUUCCUUCCUUCCUUCUUUCCUUCCUUCCUUCGUCUCCUCCCCCCUCCUCCUGCUCCUUUUUUUGUUUUGCCAGAUGUGUGGGCAUAUUGGUGGACAGGAAUAUUCCAUAUUAUUGGAAUGGCUUUAAUAUAGGCAGUCAACAAACUGUUAUCAGUCAACCUGUUGGCAGAGAUGAGUUCAUGGAUCCAAACCCAGCCUCCUAGCCAAGCUCCAACAGCUUAAGGUCUAGGCCUCUGGCAUCUGAGAAGAUACACCCUUGCUUCUGGCAUCUGAGGAGCUUCUCUGCCACUAAUGGCAGUGCUGAGGCCUCCCCUCCAAGCUCUGGGGCCUCAUGCCUAGGGGAACAGGUCACACUCAUUAUAGCCAGCUUUGUAGAGUUUGCAUUUAAAUCUGAGUGGGGGG